rnacentral:lncRNA from 1 species
CUCAAGAAAAAAAAAGAAUUCUGUAAAGAAAGAAAAGAAAAAAGAAAAAGAAACUAGAAUGAAGAGGGCUUUGUUGGAUAUUCUCAAAAAAUUGUUCCUAAGAAAAGGUGAAGCUAAAAGGCUUGGGACUGAUCUUGCGACAAACUUGGGACAAAAAUAUGCUGAAAAAAAUGGUAGAAAGUUUAAAUAUUGUUUUAUAAUCUCAAACUUUUCAUUAGAUGAUUAAUAUUUAUUUGUUUAAUCCCUUUUUUUUUUUGAAGUACUCAAACCGCCGAAAGAAGAUUCUGAUAAAAAGGAUGACAACAAAGAUGCAUCGACAAGUACAUCUAAAUAGUUUAUACGUUAUAGUUAAUUUAGGUUGAUAAUAUAUGUAAGAAAUAAAAGAUUAAUUAUAGUUGUGUGUUUAUUUUUUUUAUUUGUCGAAAAUAAAAAUAAAAUUGGGAACGUUUCUUUAAA